CCCCGCCCCCCACCGCCUCAGCCGUUCCAGAAGUUCACGAAGAAGCUGCAGAGCGAGUGCCACUGCUCCGCACAAACAGGCACAUCAUGAACAACAGUGCUACAAGCCUCCUAUAUAUUAUCCCAGUGAUGUACUUCAACCCUUACCAGGAGAGAUAUCAUUUCUUCAGAUGAGAAGAUACGUGUGCCAAGAGAUUAUUUACAAGGGGAGCCCAGAGAUUCCCCCAACUGAACUAUGUAUAAAAGAAAUUAGACAGGAAAGCACUAGUCUGUUUUAAGUAGAAGUUUCUUCACUUCACUUCUUAAACACAGUGCAAAACAGAAAACACUCUGUUUGUUUCCUUGAUUUAAAAAAAAACAAAACCUGAACCAUUUUGUUGUUUACAUUAUACUUGUGUAAAUGUUUUGCAGCUUAAAAGUUCUAUGGAAAUGCUAAGUAAUUCAUCCUCAUUACCCCUGUGAAAAUGGUCCCGAUCUUACAGGUGGGAAGACUGAGAUGCAGAUAGAUUAAAGACUAGACUAUAGCACUAAACCAGCAUUGUCAAAUGCCCAGACCAGAUCUGGCCCACUUGAUGUAUUUAUGUGGCCUUCCUGACACAUUCAGCUCCUGCAGAAUUUUAACUUAAAAAAAAAAAAAAACCCUCAUGGUUACAAAGAAAUCCUUCUAGUGUAGACUGAACAAAAAUCAGCAGAUUAUCGUCUUCCAGAAUCUGCUGACCGUCUGAAACAAUGGCUGAAAGAGUGUGAACUCCUCUGCCCCAUCUUCUAUUUAUCUCAUUGGGGUUUUAACUCUAAAGCUAGUGAAGAUACUUUAAAUGUUGACACUGAUUCUCUCAUUUUAGCAGAUGGAAUCUGAGAGAGCUUGAGUGCAUUAAGCACUUCAAAUACCUGGGUACCAUGACUACAAUGGAUGCUAAACACCACUUAGAGAGCCCACAUAGAAUUGGACUCACCUGCUGCUUCAGUGACUCUUAGCCAUGUUUGGAGAAAUAAAGGUAUUACCAUGAAGUAUAAAAUGAAAUUGCUGCAGUCUCUUGUCUCUAGCAUCUUGCAAUAUGCAUGUGAGACAUGGACGUUAAGGAAACAGGAUAUUAAGAGGCUUACUGCCUUCAAACUGAAACGCUACAGCGAUUGCUGCACGUUAGUUAUUCUUUACAUGACUAAUGAGGAGGUAAUUGCCUAAAUUUACAGCGUAACCGGAGUGAUACCUAAUAUCAAGAUGAUCAGACAAAGAAAACUUGAGUUUUCAGAACAUGUGGAUCAGAUGAACAGAGGAAGGUUGCUGAAGCAAGUUUUGCAGGGACUGGUGUCAGGUGCCAGAGAAGGGGGUACCUUUGGCGAGUGUGGUUUGACAAUGUGGUUUUCUGGACAGGAUGCAGUAUGGCAUGCUUCUCAAAGCAGGGUGAAGACUGCCGAAUGUGGAGGAAGAUGGCUGGACAAUGACUCUUGUGUGUUGUGUUUACUAUCCAUUGUGAUGUGACUCUAUGAUACUUUGCACUCUGAAAAAAUGUUUGUAUAUCAUGGCACAAACUGACCUUAGUGAAGCUAAGGAUCUGGCCCAAUAUAGUGAAGAAUCCUUUAGCUGCUGGAAAUCUUUUUAUAAGAAAAUACAUGUGAAAUACACUGUAUUUGGGGACAUCAGCUUAUUGUCUGUGCGGAAGAGUAGAACUGCCAAGUGUUAUGGAUGCAGCUUCUUGGAAUGAAGAGCUGAGUGCCUAGUUCUUUUCCCCUGAAGGCUACAUCACCUAUGCAGGACCUUAAUUCUUCAGAUCCUAUGCAAAAUUCCCAUUGAUUUCAAUGGGAAUUUUGUGUGUGCAAGGGACUGUAAAAUCAGGCUCAAAGAAUGAUCUGAGCAGCCACAUUGCCCUGCUAGGAAAUGUCAAUGGCUGUUGAAGUGCCAAGAAAGAAUAGGUGCCUGAUAACGUCCAUGUAAAAAUGGAAGUGAUUAAUGGAUUUUGAAUUAUUAAAAUAAAUAUUAACUUUUUUCAAACGUUUCAAAAGGGAAUUUCACACUGGGGAAGAUGUUCACACAUAUAACCACAAAUCUAUCUACCUGUGAAAGGACUCUAACUUUUCUUUGGCUUUUGCUACUUAUCUAAUUUUUUUUAGCAGAAUUUCUUCUUUACAGCCUCUUUCUUGACUCUGUGAUGCAGAGCAUAUGAUCAGUCUGUGAUAUAAUCAAUUUAGCAAUACAACAUGUCACAGUCCUGGUUUAGGACUCCUCUUCAAAGAUCAUGCAAGAAAAAUAGAUGAUAAAAUGGAAAAAUCUCAAGUGGAUUCAAAAUUAGUCUGGGUAGCAAAGGGAAUGCAGAAAGUCACAGAGAAAAGAAGUAUGAUAUAAAUCCUCAUGUGAAAGGGCACAAGCAAAAGGCCUCCCGGACAUCCUCAUCACAUGGAAUAAAUGCAGCAGUGCACUGGGAGAGGCAGGUGCUGUAGGAGAGUGGCAUAUUUACAAAUCAUCUUUUUGAAGGGCCACUUACCUGAGCAAAGGAUUUCCUUUGUCCUGUAAAUCUCAAUGUGAGUGAGAGAUCAAAAGUCAUGGAAAGGUGGGAGUGCUACUGCAGGUAAGGUACUUUCUGGGUUAU